rnacentral:rRNA from 1 species
UACGUAGGGUGCGAGCGUUGUCCGGAAUUAUUGGGCGUAAAGGGCUCGUAGGCGGUUUGUCGCGUCGGGAGUGAAAACCUUGGGCUUAACUCAGGGCUUGCUUUCGAUACGGGCAGACUAGAGGUAUGCAGGGGAGAACGGAAUUCCUGGUGUAGCGGUGAAAUGCGCAGAUAUCAGGAGGAGCACCGGUGGCGAAGGCGGUUCUCUGGGCAUGAUCUGACGCUGAGGAGCGAAAGUGUGGGGAGCGAACAGG